rnacentral:lncRNA from 10 species
AUUUCUUGCUAGGCCAGCAGGAGCCAGGCCGUGGCCUGCUGACUGCAUCUGCCAGAUGACUACCAAUGUUUUUAUAGAUUGAGAGGAACUACGCUCAAGGAGCCUCAUGCAUACCUGGACCUGAUUUAAAUGAUGAGAUGCUGGACUUCAAGCAGAUGCUGUAAUGAUAUGAGGUUCUCAGGGACCUUGGGAAAUAGUAAAUGUAUUUUGUGUGUGAGAGGGACACAAAUCAUUGGAGGCCAAAAGGGUGAACUGAGGACAGAUGCUAGGGUAGCUCCCACAAUCCCCACCUCCUGGUUUCACCCUUGUGGGAUCUCGCCAUGAGUGUGGAUGGAACCUGUGAUUUGCUUCUAACUAGUAGAAUUUGGCAAAAAAUGAUGAGAUAUAUGUGAUUAUGUUUACAUGAUUAUAUUAUAUAAGAUUCUGAGUACAUUGAGCUGCAUAGAGAGAGCACGGGGGCAAGUGAGAGCCAGGUGGGUACUGGAAAGCUCUGUGCCUCACUGAGGAAAAAUAACUAAACAUGGGCAAAAGAGAUCCAUGGAACCUGAGAGGCAAGGUGUUAUUAUAUGCAUUCUUUGGCAAACUUGUCAGGAGGCGCAUAAGAAGAAGCACCCAGAUGGUUCAGUCAACUUCUCAGUUUUCUAGGAAGUGCUCAGAGAGGUGCAAGACCAUGUCUGCUAAAGAGAAAGGGAAAUUUGAAGACAUGGCAAAGGCGAACAAGGCUCGUUAUGAAAGACAGAUGAAAACCUAUAUCCCUCCUAAAGAUCCCCUUUAGGACGAAAAAGUAGUUCAAGGAUCCCAAUGCACCCAAGAGGCAUUCUUUGGCUGUUUUCUUGUUCUGUUCUGAGUAUUGCCCGAAAAUCAAAGGAGAACAUCCUGGCCUAUCCAUUGGUGAGUUGUAAAGAAAUUGGAAGAGAUGUGGAAGGGCACUGCCUCAGAUGAUAAGCAGCCUUAUGAAAAGAAGGCUGUGAAGCUGAAGGAAAAAUAUGAAAAGGAUAUUGCCUCAUACUGAGCUAAAGGAAAGCCUGAUGCAGCAAAAAAGGGAGUUGUCACGGCUAAAAAAAGCAAAAAAAGGAAGAAGAGGAAGAUGAAGAUGAUGAUGAUGAUGAUAAUGAGAGAUUCUCUCUCCCUUGCUGUCUUUGAAAAAGCAAGUUGCCAUGUGAAGAGGGCCAUAUAGCAUAGGAGCUGAAGGCAGCCUCCAACUGACGGCAAGAAAAUGAGGUCCUCAGUCUGACAACCUGCAAGAAACUGAAUGUUCUAAAAGCCACAUGAGCUUGGGAGCAGAUCUGACCCCAGCCAAAUCUCUGAAGUCCGCAGGCAGGAAAUGAAGAUCAGAAAAAGGCUAUUGUCUCAUGAAUAUGAGCCAGACUCCACAGAAGCUGGAGUCCUUCAUUAUGGAGCUAAACACAUACACCUGGCUUAGGAGUCAGAAAAACUGAAAGAGAAUUCAGGGAAGUAGAGAAAUUGCAAGCCCAGAUGCUGCUUCAUACCAAAGAAGCAAGUCAGCAGGUCAGCAACAAUGUGUAUCAGUUCCAAAAUGACUUACACAGGUACCAAGACAAGACAUUAUAUACACUUAUAUAGUCAAAUACUUUAAAACUGUUAACAAACUUGCUACAAUUGUCUCAUUUGUCUUUUAACCUUAAUAUCACAGAUCAAGUUUGUAAUCUCAAAAGUUCACCCUGGCUGCUGUGUGGAGUAUUCUCUUAUCUGCUCAUAUUACACUGUGCUUAUUCAUUCAUCAGUUAAUGGAAAUUUGGGUUGUUUCCUGAUUUUGACUGUAAUGAAUAAUGUUGCUGUAAACAUUCAUGUACAGUUUUGUGUGGACAUGCUUUUCUUUCUCUUGGGUAGGUUCCUAUGAGUGGAAUCACUAGAUUGUAUGGUAAAUGUAUGUUUAACUUUUAAAGAAACUGUCAAACUGUUUUCUAACAUGAACGGGCCAUUUUACGUUCUUAUCAACAAUAUAUGAUGGUUUCAAUUUUCCCAC